rnacentral:tRNA from 1 species
GCAUCGGUGGUUCAGUGACAAAAUUCUUACCUACUACAUGGGAGACCUGGGUUCGAUUCCUGGCCCGUGCA